GUUUGGUGAGGAUGAAGAUGAAAGAAAGAGCUGCAGAGAAGCAUUUCUGAAGAUCACACUCCACUUCUUGAGGAGACUUAAGCAGCAUGAGAUGGCUGACCAUCUGCAGAGCAAAAUAUUUGCUCCACUCUGUAAACGUGAACUUAAAGCCCAACUGAAGAAGAAGUUCCAGUGUGUGUUUGAGGGCAUCGCUAAAGCAGGAAGCCCAACCCUCCUGAA